GUUUUUUGCAUGCUGCAGCCAAAAGGCCAGGUCAAUUGGCAUGACUACAUUUAACAAUCACAAAACUCUGAGUCACACCGACAGCAGUAUCAGCUUUGCUAACGGCAUCCAGUCGGGCGGAAUUCUUGAGAGUGAAGCCUGAACAACAAGCAUGACUCCAGGGGACGGUUCCAGCUCUGUGUCAUGCAAGUCUGAACAACUACACUCUAGGGUUGCAUCCUCGUGCCAUGCACGUCUGAACGACAACUCUCUAGGAUUGCAGCCUCGUGUCGUGCACGCUGCCCCAAACUUGUUGUUGCUUGACAUCACUCAUUUCCUCCGUUCUUACGUCUUUAUGUUGUUACAUGUUGUAUUGCCUGUCGAUCAAGACAAAGUGUGGCAUGUGCAAUUCGAUUAUGACGCUGUGUGACAGGUGCCAUUUUGAUUACGUCAUGUCACAUACAGAAUUUGAUUAUAACGCCGUGUGACAUAUGCAAUUAUAUUACGUGUGACAUAUGCAAGUAUACCGUAAUGUCGCGUAUAAAAGCAGGUGCUUACGGCCGUAUAAGCCGAUAUCAGUGCUAGGCUUGUAUUCAAACCACGUAUCUCUAUGUAUGUCAACACAAAACCAGGCUUAUGUGCUGACAGUGUAUCUUAAAAAAUAGGCUCGUAUUCGAAACAAUCAUGCUUUUAUACAAGACACUACAUACAAGCGAGGGUCCCUGGUUCGAGUCCUGGUGGUGACAGUCAAUUUUUUCUUCAGACUUUUCCCGUUUGUCUCUUUCCCUCAAAACCAGUUAAUACUACAUACAGUAUUUAUUAUUUUGGAAAAAUCACGUUAGCGCUUUGGUCUACCCUGAAAUUUACAAUUAUGCCCAUCGAUGGGUCCAAGUUUUCAGUUUAUGAUAAAUAUGGCGACGUGUUUCGUUCUAUUCCUUCAAUAGAAGUUUUGACGUGUUUUAUCUUAGUUCACGUAUAGUUAUGUAUACAUUCUAUCUGGUCAGUUCAACUACAUCGUGUCAUUCCAGCUGCCCCAG